rnacentral:rRNA from 1 species
GAUGAACGCUGGCGGCGUGCUUAACACAUGCAAGUCGAACGGGAAUUAUUUUAUUGAAACUUCGGUCGAUUUAAUUUAAUUCUAGUGGCGGACGGGUGAGUAACGCGUGGGUAACCUGCCUUAUACAGGGGGAUAACAGUCAGAAAUGGCUGCUAAUACCGCAUAAGCGCACAGAGCUGCAUGGCUCAGUGUGAAAAACUCCGGUGGUAUAAGAUGGACCCGCGUUGGAUUAGCUUGUUGGCAGGGUAACGGCCUACCAAGGCGACGAUCCAUAGCCGGCCUGGGAGGGUGAACGGCCACAUUGGGACUGCGACACGGCCCAGACUCCUACGGGAGGCAGCAGUGGGGAAUAUUGCACAAUGGGGGAAACCCUGAUGCAGCGACGCCGCGUGAAGGAAGAAGUAUCUCGGUAUGUAAACUUCUAUCAGCAGGGAAGAUAGUGACGGUACCUGACUAAGAAGCCCCGGCUAACUACGUG